rnacentral:rRNA from 1 species
UACGUAGGGGGCAAGCGUUGUCCGGAAUCAUUGGGCGUAAAGCGCGCGUAGGCGGCCCGGUAAGUCCGCUGUAAAAGUCCAGGGCUCAACCCUGGAAAGCCGGUGGAUACUGUCGGGCUAGAGUCCGGAAGAGGCGAGUGGAAUUCCUGGUGUAGCGGUGGAAUGCGCAGAUAUCGUAAGGAAGACCAGUGGCGAAGGCGAGUCUCUGGACAGCAACUGACGCUGAGGCACGAAGGCCAGGGGAGCAAACGGG